GAUGAACGCUGGCGGCGUGCCUAAUACAUGCAAGUCGAGCGAACAGACGAGGAGCUUGCUCCUCUGACGUUAGCGGCGGACGGGUGAGUAACACGUGGAUAACCUACCUAUAAGACUGGGAUAACUUCGGGAAACCGGAGCUAAUACCGGAUAAUAUAUUGAACCGCAUGGUUCAAUAGUGAAAGACGGUUUUGCUGUCACUUAUAGAUGGAUCCGCGCCGCAUUAGCUAGUUGGUAAGGUAACGGCUUACCAAGGCAACGAUGCGUAGCCGACCUGAGAGGGUGAUCGGCCACCCGGGAAGUGAGACACGGUCCAGACUCCUACGGGAGGCAGCAGUAGGGAAUCUUACGCAAAGGGGGAAAGCCUGACGGAGCAACGCGGCGUGAGUGAUGAAGGUCUUCGGAUCGUAAAACUCUGUUAUUAGGGAAGAACAAAUGUGUAAGUAACUAUGCACGUCUUGACGGUACCUAAUCAGAAAGCCACGGCUAACUACGUG
rnacentral:rRNA from 1 species